CUGCUGCACCUGAAGUUAAUUUUUCCUUGGUCAGUAAGUGCUUUGAAAGGCACUGACUCUUCAUAUGCUCGAAGGCUCUUGUUACAUCAUCUGCCAGCCUCCGAGGGGAGGGUACCAAGUAAUAGGCUGCUCACGGUUUACAUGAAGGACCUGGCCUCACCAAGAAGCUGAGCCCUCAGGAAGACAACAGCCUUUGGGUACUUCCUGUAGCUAAUGCUGAGCAGAGGAAGGAGAGUCCCCCCUCCAGACUCACCCAUCCAAGGAGCUGGUUUCAGGAAACUCAAGAAAUCAUAUGCUGCAGAAGGUUUGGAAAAGGUUGCCCAGGUUUUACAUGAAGAAAGGGACUCUAUCUGUGUGAUUCACCACUGAGUUCCCAGUACGCUGCAUGCUGCAGGCAUAUAGAAGCUCAGAUUCAUAGCUGAUAAAUCUUAAAGAGAGGAAAACACAGUCACAGGGAGUUCCCUUGCAUUGCCUGAAAUUCCACAGCAAGUCAGCGACAAAGCUGGGAGGAGACUCUGUCCUUCCAACUCACAGGCCAGUUCUCUGCGGGAAGCCGUUGUCUGUCUCCUCUUAGGCUCCUUUGGACGCCUCUGGGUGUCAGUUCUCCCAGGGGAAGCAGCGGCUGGGGUUGCGUCUUGAAGCUCGAACUGGCUUUGAGACUGUGCCUGAGACAGGGUGGGCAGGACUCAAAGGUCUGAAAAAGCUGGGAAGGGCCUGAUUUUGGUAAAAUUGGGCCUUCCUGUAGCAACUGGCAGGGGGAGUGACUUGGUCCUCGGGGCAGGAGUUCCCGUGGCCCAGAAUUGCCCAGCAGUCAAAUGUUAGGACACCGGUGUCUGGAGGAGCUCCUGGAAAGGGUCUUCCCGCAGCCUGGCCCUGUGGAGUUGAGGGAGGUUUGGGGAUCUCUCCUCCAGGACAGGCUCCAGAGAGCCCGCAGCAAAAGGGACAGUGUGCCUGCCCCGUGCCUCCCCUGUAGGGCUCUGCUCUGUUUCUUAAGGGGAAGGCUUCUAGCUAUAGUUUUGUGAGCUCCGUUCAGAAAGCUGCCUUCCCCAUGGACAACCCUGACUGGAUCAGAAUGUGAGCAGGAGGGAAACUGACUUUCUAAGAGUCUGUGCUUGGACUGGCCAGCCUUUGUUUCAAGGUCCUGAGAGCCAUGGGACUGAGAGUGUAGGACUGAAGCAGACUUUUGAACACCUACGUUUGCUGUGCCUCAGUUUCCCCACCAGGAGCCUGUUGUCCAGGGGUUUGGAAAGCCGAUCCAGGAAAACACCUGCGACUGUAGGCAGCUCUGGUCCUUCCGAGGCCCUGCUCAUCAGACUUCCCCAGGGUCAGACAUCCUUCCGCACAGCUCUUGUUCAGUCUGUGGCCCAAACAGCCUAGGGCAUGAUGGAGGCCCGGAACAAUGGUGGUUUUGCUUACACAGCGUGCUUGGCCGCUGGCUGGACUCACGCAAUGCUCACGGAACCGGUGUGGGCUGCCACAGCUUCCCUGUGGGACAUUUAGCUCCCUCACUUCAAGUCCAUCAAAGGACUUGUUAUCCUGGUCCCCUUUCUGUCCGUUGUUCCUCUCCCCUUGGGGCUGUCCUCUCACCCUCUCCUGCCAUCCCUCCUCUUUCCAAGCUCUUGCCCCACAGAACUGCAAGGACUCUGAGACCUGGGACGUCUCACGGAGCCGGCUUUUGUCAGGCCAGUCUCCAUCGCUCUGGGGAGUCUGAAGGCUUUUUCUUUUAAAGAUAAGUUGGGGAGAGGGUUAGAAGAGUGCUGAGAAGUGACGCCUGUUUCUUCUUUCUUUUCCUUUCCCCCUCUGGGGCUCAGAGACCAGGGUUUUUUUCUUUUUUACAGUACAAUUUGGCAGGCCCCAUCUUUUUCUGACAGAAAAAAAAUAACAGGCAUAUUUUGGGCGAUUACUCAACUGGGGUCCUUUGUGACAGGAUAUGCAGCUGCGUGACUAAUGGAGCUGGCUUUCUCCUGGCUUCCUUCCCCUUUCAGAGUUCUUGUUUACUGUGCUAUACCAAAAAAAAAAAAAAAUGCCAUAAGCUACAGAUUUUUAUUAAAAAAAUUGCCUUGAGAGAUACUCAAAGGCAAUAAAUCCUGGGAUACUCCAUUGCCAGGGCCGUGAGUCCACACCCUCUUCCACUUUUUCUUUUCAAAUGCUCAAGCCCUUGACUCAUGACAUGUGAAUCUUCUUCUCCCACCCCCACAUCCCUGUUUUCUUCUGAACAUAUGUCCAACAGAUCGUGUGUGUGAGUGUGAGUGUGUGUGUGUGCGUGCGCGCGUGCACGUGGUGGGGGAAGGGAGCAAGAUGGGAACCAUAUUUUUAGUGCUUAACUCAGCAAUUGCUAAAGGAAGGAAUAAUGACUUCCAGGGGCCUCAGGGCCUUUUUUUUCCCAAGGCCUAUGCAUUUCCAUAAUCUACGGCAAUUUUGUGGUGUAAGCAAAAGUUAUUACAAAACAUGGAACUAGCUUAACGAGGAAGGGUAUGUUCUAAACGGGGGAACUGUCUCUUUACAGAAGAAAUCCACGUUUGGAGGGCUUUGGAAUUCAGAAUCCUCAGGCUUCCCAUAGAACUUUUGGAAGAGACUUUCGCUAGCUUGUAGCGUUCAACAGCUGGAGCUGGCCUUUUAACUUUCCUAGAGAUCAACAAGCUUUUCGUUUCAAAAGGUAUAUGGCCUGUGGAUGGGAAAAAUUGACUAGCGACUUAGCUUUGAUAGAGACAGAUUGGUGUAGAUGAGGCACAAGAUUUGUGGCCAGGUGAUGGGUUGGAGCCUUGAUUGUGAAAUGGAGCAAGUCAUUUAAGAUCUGUAGGUCUCUGAUGUUAAGACAAGGAUAGCAUCUCCUCCUGCCUAGGUUGCUGGCAAGAAAAGUGAGACGAUAGCAGUCCAAGGCGUGGGGGGAGCUACAAAGAAGUAUGCAGUGAUCACUUCUAAUGCUCCUUCAUCCAAAGGGUGGGCUCAAGCAAGCAUUCAACAGAUGAGAGGGGCUUGUUCCAUGAGAACUAUGAUGCCAACUGAUGUGCAGGGGCGAGGGUACUCAUACGGUGACCCAGGAUGCAAUAUUGCAGGGGUGUUUUUGAGGCUGAUCUGGCCUCCAACUUUGCCCACACCCUAGUCAUCUUCCACGCAGGUCUCAGAAUCAGAACUUCGAUCAUGUUCCUUUCAGGAAACUGUCUCAUCGAACCCAGACAAAAGGCUCCGCUAACCUCAUUGUGCCUGCCUUUUCUUCUGUUAUGAAUUCAUUUUUUGGCGUGUACUCUGCCCUAGAGAGGUGAAUACCAGACACAGUCUACUCUGGCCCCUGGCCCAACAUUUUUACUGGAUGUUGGUUGGAGGCCCCCCCUCCUCCUUUACCUUCCGUCGGUUCCUCUUCCUGCUCCUCUCUGUUAAACCUUGCUCAUUUGUCAUUUCUUUUAAGAUUCCAUCUACAACUUAGCUCCUCCUAGAGUCUCCAUGACCAAGGACUCCUUGAGUGGACACUCCAAACCCUCCAGUAAACCAUAGCAACUAUCUUUUUUACUCCUCAUAGCUCAAGUCUAAUGUCCUCGGCAAGGGAAGUUGACUUGAUUUUGCCAGAGGGUAAACUGAGGCACCAGUCAGGGAACUAACUGGCCAGGGAUUACACAGCAAGUCCGCGACACAGACAGGAAUAGAAACCCCACAUCCUGAUUCCAUUUCGCCUGGAGUUUAAAGAGGCACCUUAGCUUGGAUAUCCCAGAAUAGCUUCUCCCAGGCCGACCAGCUGUGAAGUGAUGUGUUGCAAGGGUUAUUUUUUGCCUUGGCUUAAUGCUUAAAAAAACACCCCAAACUCCUAAAAUCGGCUAAGAAAAUCCGUUUCUCACAAUGCCCUCAGCUUGCGGAGUUUAAACCCAGUAUAUUACAUCAUGAACGCCUCCUGGCCUCCCUCUCACUCACAGUGACGCUCAGGUAUCUGAGUUAAGCUCAGAAAUCAUAGUUUAUUGAAGGAAACAGAUCAUUAAGUCACUCCACUGGACUGAAGCCGUCGACAUUGCUUAUUUGGAGAAGCUGAGCGUUGAAUAAUGCUCCCUUGAUUCAUGUGGACUGGACUAGCAGGAGCUGUUCAGCGAAGGGUGUGGCCAUCAGAUGGCAUGAGGCCCAUGGAGGCUGCUAGGAAGAGGGGAAGUGACAGUGGUGUGCUGGAGCUGGCUUGCACUGGCUUGUGAAGGCUGAUGGUUAAAUUUUCAGGAAUUUUGUGAUCCAGUCGGUAAACACAGCCAUUAUGAAAAAUUAAAUUGCAUAAACUUGCAAUUAAAUAAAUUAUAUUAACAACAAAGGUAUUAAAUACUAAAAAAAGAUCACAUUGUAAUCAUUCUGCUACAGUUUACUAUUAUCUAUGCUCUUGAUUUGUACGCCCAUUAUGUCUCUACGGUGGGAAUACCACACAGUGGGACGCUGCUGUGAACCUCUUCCCAAUUCCACACUCAGUAAUUGCACGUCAGGUAGGUUGAAAUCAGCCGUGGUAAGAGUAUUUACACCACAGAAGUUGGCAAACUCUACGAUUCAGGGUUUGAUUUAUUGUUUUGUUGCUUGUCUAGACUUAAGAAAGUGGUAGAGAACAUGUUAAUCAAGUAGAUUAAACAUAAACGUGUGCCAUAUCUUUUGCAACGACAUUGUGAAUAACACAGAGUCAAGGAACUAUUCUUCCAGGAUUCAAAAACGGUUAUCCAAUUCAGCAAAGAAGUCGCUCCUGUCAUUGAAAAAUGAAGUUCUGAAAUAGGUAUUUGUUGUUUUACUUUUUCUUACUUAUUAUUGUAAAUGCAAUAAUCAACCAACACUUAUGUCAAUUCUACACUUGGAAAGCUGAUUAUCAAACAUUUACCAGCACACUGGAGUGUAUAUGGACUACCUCCUUGGGGUCCCAGAGAAAGAACAUUGUAGUAUAGGUAGAACUCACCAGUAAGGAGCAUGUCGGGGGGACAGCCAUGGAAUAGGAGAUACUAAGCGCUGGGAAGACAGCAGCACAGAUGAUACAAUUUAGGGCCAGCAGCCAGAGACCAGCCCAUCAGGAUGGGCAUGUGGAAAAUAAACCAGAUAGGCUAAAUUGUACUACUGUAUCAACAAAGUUAGAUAGUGAAAAAAAAGCCAUGAUGACUUCUAAAUUCAAGGUGAGGAUUAAUAUCGUAUAUUCACAGCGCCUUACAGUUCUACAGCCUUCUUACGCAUGAGCUCAUAUGACCAUCAGAAAGAACUGUGGGGUAAAUGGGUAAAUUACCUAUCACCAUCAUACCCAUUUACAAAUGGGAAACUGAGGCAAUGGGUGGUUAACUAGUUUGCCCAAGAUUACUCUUUCUACAUAAAUGGCCAAGUUCGGUCUUGAUGGAGAAACAGAAAUGGCACAGACGUUUGGGGCAGUCACACCUGGGUUAAAAACCUAAGCUUGUCAUUUAUAUAACUUCGGUACGGUAACUUUACCUUUUUAAGCCUUGGGUUUUUGUUUUUUACUUUUUAUUGAGAUUAUGAUAGUUUACAACCUUGUGAAAUUUCAGUUGUACACUUUUAUUUGUCAGUCAUAUUAUAGGUGCACCACUUCACCCUUUGUGCCCACCCCCUAUGCCCCUUUUCCCCCGGUAACCACUAAUCUGUUCUCUUUGUCCACGUGUUUAACUUCCACAUAUGAGUGGAGUCAUACAGAGAUUGUCUUUCUCUAUCUCGCUUAUUUCACUUAACAUAAUACUUGGGGUUUUUUUUAAACCUAGAGAAUGGGGAUGAUAAUGCCUAGGUCACAAGUUUGUGGUGAGGGUUGGUUUAAAUGAGAUAAUAGGUGGCAAGGACCUGGUCCUCAGGAGGCCGUCGUAAAUGUUCAUUUCAAGGGAGGGAGAAACCAUGAUGUUUUAAAAUUAUUUACAUUUGAUUUUGAAAUGCAGAAUAAAACUCUUUUGACUAACAUAUUUACUUUUCUACUUAUAUUUUUUAGGUUUGGGUAAAAUUACUCUGCGUGGUUUUAGGCCAAACCAAUCUGAGGAGGUGGGGGCAGGGCCAGGGAGGAGGCAGAGGAGGCCCAGAAGAGAGCUAGCCUGGGACUCAGGUUUCACAAAGGCCUCUUUGCUCACUGGUAAUGGAGAGAAUCAAUACACGUUGUCACGUUCAGCAACACACAGCACCAUUCUUAGCCCCAACAGCUAGAGCUCCAGGUGGACUUCCCUUUCUAGACCUGGCCUCUAUGUCACCACCCGCAGAAAUGAGGAGGCCCAGCCUCUGACCCCUCUAUCCCCUAAAACACUCCCAGCCUCAGCACCACACUCUGCCUUGGGGAGGACUAUCUCCCAGGCAGCAGAGGCCUCGGCCAUUCCUCAUCUCCCUGGCCAGAGAGGCAGCCCUCACCCACCAGGACUCCUCCUCUUUCCUCCUGGAUUUACCUUUCUUCUUAGCACUCAUCAUCCUGUGCCAUACCAUGUAAUUUACUAGACUGGGAGCUCCAUGAGGGCAUUUGUUUAUUUCAUCUGGGACCUAGAACAGUGCCGGGGAACACAGAAGGUGCUCAGUAAGUAGUUACUCAAAGAAGAGGGUGUCGUCACCCCACUCCCGUUUUUUUCCUAUUUCAAAUAACAAUCCAUUUUUUGAUCAACUUCACUGGACUCAGAUUUGGCUUAUGUCUCACGAGGGUAAACCAUGGUGGUGAAGGGUGUCGUCAAAGGCCUGAGGCAGAGCUCCAUGAAGGCAUCCCUGAAGCUGGUCCUCUGACCAGCCCUCAGACACUGAACGAGCAAUCCAGCUCAGUGGUUAAGAAGAUGCUGGUUCAAAUCCAGCCCCUACCACUGAUUAGCUAUGCAACCUUAGGCAACUUAUUUCUUCUCUCUGAGCCUCGUUUUUCUUAUCUGUAAAAUGUGGGUAAAAAUAUCCAUAGGUGGUGGCAUGGAUUAAUGAGAAAAAGCAUGGUGAGUGCUUAGCACACAGCCUGGCAUGGGGAAAGGGAGCCAGUAUUCGUCGCACAGUGAAGGUGGUGGAGGCGCAGGAGGGGGAUUUGGGCAGCGUGGAAGAGCAAUUCUAGGACAGCUGGAAAAGCCACACGUGCUGAAGACCUUGGCUUCUGUAGACACAGAUGACACCUGAUCAGCACAGCAUGGGGAACUGCAAAGGGGCUCUGGAGCAGUGACACUGCCUCAGGAGGGCCUGGUGAAGCUUUGGGGCUGUCACCAUCGCGGCCUAGCUGGACCCAGAGGCUGUUGUAGUGACUUUGUGACUUCGUGUAACUUCAUGUAUGGUGUCUAACACAGCUUUCUCUCCUGGGCAAAAUAAUGGCAAACGUGCCUCAACAUGUAGGGAGGGUACCACGGCUGAAGCCACAGCUGAGAAUCAAGGACACAGGAGUCACGAGAUGCACAGAGGUGAGGACUACAGGGUUUAGAACAAUCGGGAGGACUCCUGGGAGGAGCCAUAGAACAAAGAGAGAGGGCGGCCUCAUUUUCCUCCCACGAGACAGUCAUGGUUUCAUUAUGGGAGGUGAGUGUCCAGGGGGCGUUGGAGGGAAGGGACAUGGUGAAGAGGCAGGAGGAGAGACAUCAAGGACAGGAAGCGGCAUGUAUGACAGCGUCAAGUCCGACGUGAAGAGGCCUGGGAGGGGAAGCAGGGCAAGUAGGGGUACCCAGGGAGCCACAGUCUAUCCGGCUUCGGGCAGGCCUGCAUAUAUCAAUCGCUGGCUGCACAGGCUGCCCCCUGAACUGGUCCCCCCGGGCCGGCCCAAUUUAGGCUCAAAGCUCCGCGUUCUGCUUGGUAUUUUAAAUGCUGUGGGUGCUCAAGACAGUAUAGGAUAUAUGAAGACCGGCCUGGAACAGGAGCCAGGAGAUUUAGUUUGAGGUGCCCGAAAUGUCGUUUUCUAACUUCGAUCUUGAGCCUCAGUUUCCUUGUCUGUGACACAGGGAGGAGCAUGCCUGGCUCCUUCACCGGGUCACUGCCAAGGCUGGAUGAGAUAGAGCAUUGAAAGGACGUGGUCAAUCUCUCAGGCCUGUCUGCCAUUACCCCCUGGGGCCUUUGGCUGUGGGUGCUCCGCGGACCACUCACUUCAGCAAGCCCACGGGGUAACGUGGCCCCUGGAGAGCAGCAGAGCUCUUCUGGUUGAUUCCGACCUCCUGCCAGCCUGCCUGCCUGUGGAGACGCGGCCCCUGGAAGCUGGGCAGAGAGCCUUGUCAGCCAGUCAGUGCAACUCAGGCGCUAAGCCAUGGCUGGACGUCCGCAAAGCACUUGGGGCUUUUUGCUUGAAAGCCACUGGAGAGAGCCAAAGCAUAUCUUCCCUCCUGUAUUCCUCAGCAGGGGGCUUCUGCCUCGCCCCAGAAGCACCUGUGCGGGUAUAGACACGCACACCUCCUGGACACUGAGUCUACCCCUGAUAGUGUGUGACACAGUGCAAAUUCCACUCUCCUGCAGCUACCUCUUCAACUACAGGCAUUCCAUGUAGCCUUAAUCUCCCCGGGCCUCAGUUUCCAGAGCUGCAAAUAGGAGCCAGAGAUGCUGUAAAUCCCCUACCUGCUGGGAAAUCUUCUGAAAGCUAUUAUGGAUAGUUUUAGAUUCUCUGGGACCCCAUGGGCCAGUCUGCAUUCCCAGACCAAAGCAGCCAUUCCCUCAUUCCAGCUCAGAGCGUUUGGUGUCCCCAGUUGUCACCCACUGUAUGGCUCUAGAGACAGCCUGCCAGGACAGGGUUCCAGCUUCCACUUACUAGCUGUGUGACUCUGGGCAAGUCACUUUAACCUCUCUGUGCCUAUAUUUUCUCAUCUCUGAAAGGAGGAAUUGGUUGUACUUAGCUCCUAGGUUGGUACAUAUGUAGUAUGAGCUCAUAUAUUUGAGUUGUGAGUUAAUGUCUGAGCUCAUACUGUAUACGUAAAGUCCUUAAACCAGUGCCUGGCACAUAGUAAGACUAAUUAUAAGUGGUAAAUAAUAAUAAUAAGUAUUAUUAUCCAUUUUCCACCCCAGCUAUUAUGCUGGCCCAUUUUCCUGACUUUCUCAGCAGACCCUCAGGGCCUGGCCCUAUCUGCUCCAGGUUUGCUGCUACCAUGAACCCCCAAAGACUCACGGAAGCAGCCGGUGGAAGAGAGGUUGUGCAAAGCGGGUUGGAAUGGAGGAUUGAGAAGAGGAUGUGACUGGGCUCAAGGGCAGGCGGGGGAGAAAAUAAACGCACAGGAACCAGGAUGAGGGAACAAUGCUCGGCCAGCCUCUCGGAGGCCCAUUAGCCCAAUGCGGAGCAGAGUGUCUGUGGAAUUGCUCCCGUAUCUGGGCUUCCCCAGCACCUACCUUAAUCUGCCUUUUAGUAACGUGUGUACCACAGUGGUAUAGAAUGAAUCCAGCUUUCCAGAUAUUGAGUUCACUGAGGGCGAGGCCUCAUCUUUGCAUUCCUUGUGUGGAGUGGGAACUCGAUAAAUGGCUCCUGAAUUGAACUGCAUUUGGAAGUUAGUGUAUUAACCAAACACCUCCUCCCUUGACUUAAAAUAGAAGGUUAAGAACGACUGUGGCCUCUUUGCCCCAACCCCAGACCUCUUCUUAGCACUUCUGUUUCUGUGCUGGGCCCAUGAGGGAAUCAGGAACCCCUAGCAAGCUGUGAGAAUGCGAAUGCUGUCCCAUGUCCAUUUGCCUAGACAUGGCGCCACUUUCCUGUCGUUUCUAACCCCUUCCCUGGCACUAUGUUGGAUCUGUGCCAGAUAAACCCAAGAGACUUGAAAUCUCCUCAAAUUAUAUCUCAGGAAAGCAAGGCCUCAACCCAGAUGUGUUUAGAUGCCCCAAACUCCCUCUAGAUAUUACUACCCCCAGUUCUCAAGAUACGGUCUCAAGGAAGCGGGGCAGGAAAGGCCUGGCUUAUCUCCCUCUCCUCUGCUUCUCCUCCCAGCCUGCAGGAGCUUUCUGCUGCCCCUUCCCACCUGGAGGAACUUCCCUCAGCUACCAACUAUAUCUUCCGCACUGUGACUUACAGUCAGGUCCCGUUAUCAGACUUCCAGGCUUGCAUAUGUAAGAGGAAAAUUUUUAAAUUUAGGAAUCCUCUUUCCACAAAGCCUCCAGCAACCCCACGUCAGCUUGGACGUUCAAGCUGAGCAGUGGCCCAUGGAAGCCAUAGCAUGAGAUGACUCACACAGAAAGGAAAAUACAAUGGUUUAUGAUGCUCAUUGGUGUCAUCCCAGCAUACUUAUGAAAGAAAACAUAUAUCAUGAUGUUAUUUCUGUAUAGUUUGCCAUAUCAUUUUAUACUUAUGUGUAUACAUUUAAAAUAAGUGGGAAGAGGGUACAGCAAAUAAAAGUGGGCUUUCCUGAGUGGUGGGAAUAGAUGUGAAUUUCGCCUCUUUCCUUUGGCUCAAGCAUAUUUUCUGAGUCCCUAUAAUCAAUAUAUGUUACCUUAGAGUAAAAAUAAAGAGACAAAAUUGAUGACUUCUAAUAUUUUAUAUGAAAUUUUAUAUAAAACAUACAAAUAUAUAUUUCAUAAAUAUAUAAGAAUAUAUAUGAGUAAGUGCAUAUCUUAUAUGUAAAGAAUUCUAUAUACCUCUUCAUUUAUAUAAUUAUAUGUUAUAUGACAUAAUAUGUAAUAUACAAUAUAAUGUAUACUGUACAUUAGUAUAUAGGUGACUAUUCAUAGAGCAGCAUUGGAAGGCAAUACAACAAAAUACUAUCAAUAGAUUUCCAGUUGUGUUUUUUGUAUUUUCCAAGUUUUUUGCAUUGAGCUUUUAUUAUUUUUGUAAUUAGGAGGAAAAAACUGCGUGUGUUUCACUUUGGUGAAGAUGAAAGUCUUCAAGUCAUUAUCUUUGUCUGCCCAGCCCAGGGCGUCUGCUUUUCUUAGCCUGAAAACAGGUACAACUUUUUUUCCGUUCGAUAGCUUUCAAUAGGUGGUCUCAGACCCUGACGUUACUACAGGAUUUGAUGUUUCUGUUUGGCCAGAGCUGGUUUGUCCAGAGAACCAGUCAGUGUGGUCAGUGGACUGUGGAUGAGUAUCUAGAGGUGUUUACAGUGAAAAAAACACACAGUAGAGAACGUUCUGGACUUAAUUUCCAUACAUGAGGAACUCUAUUUUCUAGGCACUGCCUGUCCAUGGGGGCAUGGAUGGGAGAUUAAUCCAGAACACCGUUCACGGUGCAAAGCAAGGGAAAGGUGAAACACCCUCAGAAGGGGGACUGUGAAGCUGCAUCCUGGCUGUCCAGGCCCAGGGGUAGAUGAACACGAUGAGCUCAUGGUUAUUUUCCAUCCCUUAUCAUCUAUGGGACUUCCCUGAUGCUUGUGUAGCUGUUUGUAAUUUGUUCUUUGGCUAGUACUUUCUAGAUUGCUCUGAGGGAAAACACUGAUUUCUGCAUUUGUAUGUUGGACUGUACGAAUAGCGAAGUUUCAGGUUCCCGCCCUCUGUUUAUGGAUUGCCUCAGGAAAUUUUAUCCAAUAUAAAAAUGGGCUCAAGAGAAAGAAAAGUCUUGAAUCAGUGUAUCUGGACUCUUUGGGACCUCUGGGCCCAGAUGGGUCCAUCUGCAAACAAGGACUUACUGUUCCUACUCCUAGCCCUGUUGCCCUUGGAGUUCUCUGAGGGCAGAUAGGCCUUCCUCUCUGCCUAGAAUUUUGAAAUUCUCUGAUGGAAGUUUUGGUGUAAUGGCAAAUGUCAUUGUGAGGCCUCCGAAUGUUUUCCACUCAUCACCAAUCAUCCUUCCACAAAGCACUUUUUAAAUCCUUCCCCAGCACUAAUAAGGAUUGAGAAACAAUAGAGAUUUCAUGCUCUUGUUCAAAUUGCACGGAAAGUUCCAGGGGCUACGGGAGGGAAGGAUGGGGAGGAGAAUAAAAACAGAAUGUCAGGGUCUCAGGAUGUCCAGCUUAAAAUAUUAGCCUCUGGGACUCACUGCUUCAAACAUGUCACUGAGUCUAUAAAUACCAUUCUCAUCACCUGGAGUUGUAAAGCUAACAUUGUUUAGCUCUCUGGCUUUGCAUUUAUGGUCUUGUUUGAUUGAAGACACUGUUCACCCAACCACCACCUUCCUUGGGCCUCUGUGGGAUUCCAGGACUGUCAGGGGACUGCCUAGAAAGGAAAACCCGUUACACCACUGCCCCUAGAAGGGACCACCUGGGCUCACACUCAGUUUCACUGAACAUUCCUGUAAUUCUUCCAGCUAGUGCCUUUUUCUGAUCACUUAAAUUCCAUUUUGGAUGACCAAUCAAAUCUGUAAGUAUUGCCUAAGGCCCUCCAGUGUUCAGAGGACUGGGGAGGCAGUCCUUGGGGCAAGAAUUCUGGGACAAGGUUGGGGGACACACAGACUCAGGGAGACAAAAGGCAACACAUCUGAACGAAAGAACAUAAGCGAUGGUCUUCAAUAAAGAGGUAAACUGUGUGGAGUAGCAAGUGCCAUGAGUGGAGAAGGAGAGGGGAUGUGGGCUCCACACUUGCUAGAAGUUUGGCUAGGGGUGAGGGUAGUGGGAGGGUACUUGGAGCUGGACUUCAGAAGAUGGGUGAAAUCUCGAUAGAAAUUGUGAGCAAAGGGAAUGCAAAGAGCAAGAACAAAGCGGAGGGAUGGAGCAGGAUAUAGGCUGGGUUUGUAGGUCUGGCCAAGAUGGAACUCCUGUGGGGGAAGGCAUGGAGGAGCAGACUGCGGCAGUGGUAGGAUAAGGCUGCACCAUGGAGGGCUUUAGAAGCUGCUUUUUCACUGUAAGCUCCUGUGUGCUUUUUUCCAGAUGAAGAUUUGUUGCCAGCAAUGGCUCAUCCAAAAAUCUGACAUUUGCCCUGGACCUCUCCUCCUGCCUCCUUCCUCAUACUGGCUCACUAGUAAGCCCCCAGGCACUGAGCAACCCAGGACAAGAGGUCUGUCCAGUUAUCAUGGGUGCUUCUCCGACAGUCCAGGCUAGCUUUCCUCAGCAGGGACUUUCAUUUUGCCAACAGGGCUGGACUGGAAAGAGGCUGGAUCAAGGGUUUGGACUGUGUCUCCACAGGCUACCAUCUUGGGAGGGCCAGUGGCAGAUGCCAGGAGCUGGCUGGUGUCAGGGUACAAUCUGGUAGCCACCGAAGAGACCCUCGUCCUUGGAGGGUCUGUGAGCCCACAGACACCUGUUUGGCUUGACUCGCCUUGGCUGGGAGCAUUUCCGGCAGAGAUGAGUGCGAAAUGGAUGGGUGGUCGAGAGCUGAGACUGAGAGGGAAGAAAGGGUCUGCAGUGUUGAAAUGAGAUGUUUGUGAGCCCCUAUCUACAAACAGGCAAGUGCGGGCCUUAGACAAUGCUGCUGGCAAACUUGGAUCGAGUUUCAUUGUUUCCUGAAGCACUCCAGUGGAAGAGAAGGGUGGAACAGACUUGCUAGAGGUGCUCUCCACGUGAAAGGGAGGAUUAGAAGGAGCAAAUAGCCAGGAGGGCAAGGUGGACUCUGCGAUGACAGAGAGGAUGUGAGGGGUCAGGAUGUGAGCGGGAAAGCCAUUGCUGGGGAUUGCUGGGCACUAUGGUAGCAGUUCCUGGGUCCUUUCCGUGCCUGUGCUCCUGGCCUACUGCCCCCUACACGGAUUCAUGAGACCAAGAAGCAAAAGUGAGGGAAGAAGUGCUUUUCAGCAGAAGCACCCCAGAAACAAAGACAUUCCCACCAGUAGAGCUGCAGCACGGGGGACACUUGCCUCUCCCCCUGCCUCAUAACCAUGACUUUCUCACUCAAAGACUGUCCAUCUGUCCAGCCAUUCCGCCAAGCCCUGGAGCCCCAUGCUGAGUCCCUUUGGAAGAGUCCCAGCUCCUGGGGCGACCUCGGCAACAGCAGGGCCCACGGACUGCUCGGAUCCCAAACUUCCCAUCACAGGCAUGGGUCGGCCUGGCCCAUGGAAGUUAAAAUAACACGCUGGCUGUUUAUGAGCAAGAGUCCUCAAUAAAGUCAUUGGAUGGUUCCCUCGGCAGCGUGUCUAAUCUUCUCUGGCUGCCUUUCUGGGCCUGCAGCUCCUGAUCUAUUUUGGUCUCUCUCUUCUUUGACUCAUUCUGGGACUUCUGUGCCAUAAAUCCGAGCCCCCUCCAGGGCCUGGUCCCACCAGCAGGCAGACAAUUCAGAAUUAGCUGUGGUCAUGGUUGUCCAAACUGACAGUCAGGGAAACUGAGGCACAGCAGGCUACAGGGCUUUGUCCCACCUCCCACAGUGACCCAGCAGCACAGCUGCCAGCAAGGCCCAGGGUUCUGGCUGAGACUUUAAUACUGGAGCUUGCAGGGAAGGCUGGGGGCCAUGUGAACUGUUAUAAAGCUCUCAUUGGGCCAUACUUGGCCACAAAUCUCAGGACUGUGUGGCAAAUAGGAUUGCAGUGGGGGUGAUGUGUGUGUGUGUGUGUGUGUGUGUGUGUGUGUGUGUGUGUGUGUCAGUCACAGGCUUGAUUAUGGUGUUUGAAAUCUUCCCCAUGCCUGGAAUUUGACAAGCACAGAAUAGAGAAAGACCAGAAAACUCAAAAUAAUGGCAGCCAGAGAACAAAGAGCCUUCCCAAAGGCAUGGUUCAAGCUGUGGGCAAAAUGUCUUCCUGUUUCUCAUGUGAGGCCCCUGCCCCCAGGCCCAAGGGGCUGGCUGGGCUGGUUUGGCCUGUCCAAGGUCAUGACUGAACUCUGAUUCCUGCUGCUGCCCCAGGCCUCCCUGGGUGCCUGGCCUACGUGCUCUGGAGACUGGAGUGGAGGGUGGGGGAGGCAGGGAGGCUGUUAGGGUUUGAGAUACUUUCUAGGUGCCUCGGGGGACCUACAUAUUUCCUAUGUAAAGUUCAGUCUGUUUGCAAUUAGGCCUCUCUUCUUUGCUUGUUUCCGGAGAGAUUAAAAAUAGCGAAAUCAGCUUGAUCUGGGACUCUCUGAGAUCAACAAGGCCACUGUUUCCAACAGUAUGAAAAUACCAAGCAGUCCCACCCACAUUCAUGGGUCACACUGCGUGGCAGGCCUGGUAGGCUUUCUGUAAUGAAGGAACUUUAAGUUGCAUGAAUUCUCAACAGAUAAGACUCUGUCUUUUGGACCCCAGGAAGAUAGCUUCAACUAAAAUGGAAGGGGUUCCGCACUGUUUAGGGCCUGAAAUCCUUUCUGUCCUUCUAAACGAGCUCAAAGCUGUGAAAGCCUUUUCAGGAAAAUCUACCUUGGUUCACUUAUUUCACCAAUUUUAGCCUUUCCUUAGGGAUUUGGGCUCAGAGUGGAUCCUGGGCAGCUGUAGAUAUAAGGACGCUGCUCUUGACCGGUCACCAUCAGCACAACCAAUGCCGGG
rnacentral:lncRNA from 1 species